rnacentral:rRNA from 1 species
UACGUAGGUGGCAAGCGUUGUCCGGAAUUAUUGGGCGUAAAGGGCGCGUAGGCUGUGCUGUAAGUCAGGCGUGAAAUCCCCGGGCUCAACCUGGGAAUUGCGCAUGAUACUGCGGCGCUUGAAGACGGGAGAGGAUGGCGGAAUUCCCAGUGUAGAGGUGAAAUUCGUAGAUAUUGGGAAGAACACCGGUGGCGAAGACGGCCAUCUGGCCCGUAAUUAACGCUGAGGCGCGAAAGCGUAGGGAGCAAACAGG